GUCUCUCCAUCUUUUAAUCCCUGAUGCUCCUACAAACAAAGUCACUGGCUGUCAUCAAUAUCAAGGUCCCCCUUCCACCCUCUCCUUUGUGAUCCUAGUUCCAUAAGGCUGGGAAGUACCUAGGAUGGAUAGCAGAUGCUAAGACUCGACCAAAGGCAGAAUGGGACUUCAAGUAAGGAGUGUGAUGAGAAAGGCCAUCAGCCACCAAAACCCGUAUCCAUCAGGACUGGAAAAGAAUAACUGCCACUUAGAGUGGAGAGGAAUCAUGGGACGGACUUCUGAAGAAGGCACUGUAUUUCCU